UCACAUCCCUAAUCAAUCAAAACACAUGUUGUGUGUGUUUAAUGUUGUUUGCCCACUUGUUGUGUUUAUAAAAAAGUUAAAAAUUGUUUAUUUGUAAAAAUGGUAAAUGAACAUAACAAAAUUAGUGUAGUGCGGGAGAUCUUCGCUGCCAAAGACAUUCUCUUUGGUAAGUUUAGCGAUAAAUUUACCAAAGUGAUGAAAAUGGAAGAGUGGGAGAACAUGCGUAUUAGGUGUGUUGCACUUGGACUGGUUUCAAGUGCAAAAUACGCCAAAUACGUACGUGAUGUUUUUUGGGCAAACAUCAAACGGGCGACACUGAAACACAGGGGCGGCUGGAGGCAGGGGCUGUAAAUUAUCCCAGUUGGAUACCCUGGUCUUAGAAGUGAUUGGGAAGGAGUCACCAACCUGCGAUGGUAUUCGGCCCCAAGAGAAUGAUGGUGAGGAUAUGUCAUUGCAAGAUUUGAUUGGCAUCACAUUAAAUGAAAGCAAUGACAGUAACUCACCGUUGGUAAUUACGGAAGUGACUGCUACCAAGAAGGAAGAAAAAUAAGUGUCUAUGCCUGAGAGCUCCCGAAAAAGAAAGCGAUGUAUGGAAAAUGGUUCUUCUGCCCACGGGGAAGCAGAAAUUAAAAAAUUGAAGAUGGAUGAAAAGGUGGAGUGCCAGAUCGAAAACUUCACUUGAAAAAUAAAGCUCUACAGAUUAAAAUUUUGGAGCAAAAAUGUAUGCGCCGUAAGGGGGCGUACACCCCCUUAUUUUUUUAGUUACAACUUUUUGUUCUUUAUACUUUUUUUAUUAAUAUUUUUCUUAUUUGUAAAUUAAUUAAAAUAAUUUAAAAUAGUUUGUAGCCUA